UCCUACCGGGAGCAGCAGUGGGGAAUAUUGGACAAUGGGCGCAAGCCUGAUCCAGCCAUGCCGCGUGAGUGAUGACGGCCUUAGGGUUGUAAAGCUCUUUCGGCGGGGACGAUAAUGACGGUACCCGCAGAAGAAGCCCCGGCUAACUUCGUGCCAGCAGCCGCGGUAAUACGAAGGGGGCUAGCGUUGUUCGGAAUCACUGGGCGUAAAGGGCGCGUAGGCGGCUUUGUCAGUCGGGGGUGAAAGCCUGUGGCUCAACCACAGAAUUGCCUUCGAUACUGCAAGGCUUGAGACCGGAAGAGGUUAGUGGAACUGCGAGUGUAGAGGUGAAAUUCGUAGAUAUUCGCAAGAACACCAGUGGCGAAGGCGGCUGACUGGUCCGGAUCUGACGCUGAGGUGCGAAAGCGUGGGGAGCAAACAGGAUUAGAUA
rnacentral:rRNA from 1 species